ACUGAAUAGAUACCCGGGUAGUCCCAGCUGUAAACGAUGCAGGCUAGGUGUUUGGACGGCCACGUGCCGUUCUAGUGCCGCAGGGAAGCUGUUAAGCCUGCCGCCUGGGGAGUACGAUCGCAAGAUUGAAAUUUAAAGGAAUUGGCGGGGGAGCACCACAAGGGGUGAAGCUUGCGGUUUAAUUGGAGUCAACGCCGGAAAUCUCACCGGGAGCGACAGCAGUGUGAAGGCCAGAUUAAAGGUCUUGCCAGACGAGCUGAGAGGAGGUGCAUGGCCGUCGCCAGUUCGUGCCGUGAGGUGUCCUGUUAAGUCAGGCAACGAUCGAGACCCGCGUCCUCUGUUGCUACUAGCCUUGUGCUGGGCACACUGAGGAGACCGCCACUGAUAAAGUGGAGGAAGGAGCGGGCCACGGCAGGUCAGUAUGCCCCGAAUCUCCCGGGCCACACGCGAGCUGCAAUGGCAGGUACAAUGGUUCCGACCUCGAAAGGGGAAGGCAAUCUCGAAAGCCUGCCGCAGUUGGAAUC
rnacentral:rRNA from 1 species